ensembl:lncRNA
CACUAAGCCUGGUAUAGCGUUUCGGAGCAGUAUUGGAGAUAGUGUGGGUUAAGUGCACUGCGCUUUGGCAUUAUUAAGACUUGUGCACACACUGUCACGUACACACGCUCUCAAGUGGCCAAGACCGCAAGUGUGGGUAUUUGGACAGGGUAAAAAGUAUUAAAAAAAUGCCCCAUUAGUAAGAACUCUAAACAUAGUCACACAUCAAAGUCUUAAUAAUUCAGUAAUUCAGUUUAACACUUGUAUGAUAUUGUACAAGCCCCAGGACAAUCUCAUCUGACACUAUCACAAUAUUGCUAAAUCAGUUGCGCUCUUCUUGGAAAGCAGUCAAAUGCCCCAAACAGUCAGAAAGUUUUUAUUGUCCAUUGGCUUCUUAAUAAAUUACCGGUACUUCAAAUAAGCCCCAUCAGUUUAUGUUCCAACUAUACAUGAUAUCUCUCUGCACCUCGUCAUUUAUGUUUCCACAAGUGGAAAUGCUAGUUUGAUGUGUCACGUGAUAUAUCAAAUCUUUGAUUAAUUUGUCAGAACCAGAUCAAUUACACUACUGAUAACAGUCCUGAAAGCAUGUAAUCAUUUUUAAAAGAAUUCAUAUGAACUUGCUUUUAAUAAUGGAUGCAUUUAACAUUUAAUUAUACAGCAUCUUUGCAGAGGCUGCUUUCAUGGUCUAAACCCCCCCCCCCCCACUGUAAUGUAUAUAAGUUGCAUGUAAUGUAAUAAUAUUUCCUUCCUUUCUGUCUUACAGGAUUGCUUGCAGAUAAUGCUGUUCUUCUUUUUCAGGUCUACAACAUCGAGCUCAACAGAUCUUUUAAGAGCCAACCCUCACAAACCUUGCUCUCAGCGAAUCUUGCCAUGAUCAGCCCUUUCCAGAAGAGAAGAUCAAGGAAAUUAUUUGUUCAGGAUGAGGAAUGAAGACGGCCAUCUUGUGCCCAAACGAAGACAGAAAGCUGUCCACUGAUGAUCUCAUCAGCCAAAUGAGGGGUUUUGACCAAGUGAUGGUCUUGAAAGGAAUGAAAGAAGAGGAUGUGGUAAAUUGUCUUCAAAGAAAAAGCUUCUCAAAAGGUCUUAAAACAGCUUGAAGAAUGGUAUGUGUCCAGUACUUCAAGGGUCAUAGUUGUUCACACUGCUAAAAAUCACACAGAACAUUAAACUGUCUGACUGUCCAUUAAACAACUUCAUCUGAAUUGUUUGUGUUUUUUGUUUUACUUUGACCAGGUCUGGGAACUGUCUGAAAAUGGGAUGUUAGGACUGAGAGAUCCUCUGGCUGAGAAAAAGCUACACCAGAUCAGUGCUGGAUAUCAACCACAAACUGUUUCCAGACACGAGAGAAGAAGAUCAUGAUGGGGAAAUGAAACCAGUUUAGAUGUGAUGAUAAGGAAUCAUUAUUUUCUGAAACAGUAUCACAUGUCUUAUAUGUAUCACAUGAUCUGUAUCACAGUUGCCUGGAUGGGAUUGUGUGACUUUUUAAGGACAUUUCAUUACUCAUCUGUGUGAACUGAUUAAUUUAUGAUAUUAAUGAAUUAAUUUUUGAUGAUCCAUUAUUAUUUUCCUUGAAUCUUAUUUGUCUUGAUGCUACUUUAUCAACUUUAUAGUCUAUGCUUCAA